UACAGAGGUCUCAAGCGUUGUUCGGAUUCAUUGGGCGUAAAGGGUGUGUAGGUGGCGCGCUAAGUCGGGUGUGAAAUUUCGGAGCUUAACUCCGAAACUGCAUUCGAUACUGGCGUGCUUGAGGACUGGAGAGGAGACUGGAAUUCAUGGUGUAGCAGUGAAAUGCGUAGAGAUCAUGAGGAAGACCAGUGGCGAAGGCGGGUCUCUGGACAGUUCCUGACACUGAGACACGAAGGCCAGGGGGAAGGCUAAACACGGGG
rnacentral:rRNA from 1 species